rnacentral:RNase_P_RNA from 1 species
AGCAGGCCAGGUGAUCGCGGCUGGACAGACGAAAGGGUUCAGACGAGGAAAGUCCGGGCUUCACAGGGCAGGAUGCCGGAUAACGUCCGGUGGAGGCGACUCCCAGACCAGUGCAACAGAAAUAAACCGCCAUGGCUUGCCAUGGUAAGGGUGGAAAGGCAGUGUAAGAGACUACCGCCGUCCUGGUAACAGGCCGGGCACAUGUAAACUCCAUUCGAAGCAAGACCGAGCAGAAAGCGAUACGGCGGCCCGUCGUGCUUUCAGGUAGGUCGCUUGAGCCUUUCGGCAACGGAAGGCCUAGACAGAUGAUCACUCAACGACAUAACCCGGCUUAUCGGUCUGCUUG